UACGUAGGGGGCAAGCGUUGUCCGGAAUCAUUGGGCGUAAAGCGCGUGUAGGCGGUUCGAUAAGUCUGCUGUGAAAGUCCAGGGCUCAACCCUGGAAAGCCGGUGGAUACUGUCGGACUAGAGUACGGAAGAGGCGAGUGGAAUUCCCGGUGUAGCGGUGAAAUGCGUAGAGAUCGGUAGGAACACCAGUGGCGAAGGCGGUCUCCUGGCCCACUCUUGACGCUGAGGCGCGAAAGCUGGGGGAGCAAACGGG
rnacentral:rRNA from 1 species